rnacentral:rRNA from 1 species
GUCUAUGGCCAUGCCACCCUGAACAAGCCCGAUCCUGUCUGAUCUCGGAAGCUAAGCAGGGUCGGGCCUGGUUAGUACUUGGAUGGGAGACCACCUAGGAAGACCAGGUGCUGUAGGCA